rnacentral:rRNA from 1 species
CCUACGGGUGGCAGCAGUGAGGAAUAUUGGUCAAUGGGCGGGAGCCUGAACCAGCCAAGUCGCGUGAGUGAAGCAGUAUUUCUGUACGUAAAGCUCUAUCAGCAGGGAAGAAAAUGACGGUACCUGACUAAGACGCCCCGGCUAACUACGUGCCAGCCGCCGCGGUAAUACGUAGGGGGCAAGCGUUAUCCGGAUUUACUGGGUGUAAAGGGAGCGUAGACGGCAGCGCAAGUCUGAAGUGAAAUCCCAUGGCUUAACCAUGGAACUGCUUUGGAAACUGUGCAGCUGGAGUGCAGGAGAGGUAAGCGGAAUUCCUAGUGUAGCGGUGAAAUGCGUAGAUAUUAGGAGGAACACCAGUGGCGAAGGCGGCUUACUGGACUGUAACUGACGUUGAGGCUCGAAAGCGUGGGGAGCAAACAGGAUUAGAUACCCGGGUAGUC